UGAUAGGCUGAACCUGGGAAAGAAAGAAGCACGCCUCGUUCAGAAUAGCAGCGGCGCUGGAGUAGCCAACAGUCGUCGUCUGAUAGCUCCAGCCAAAACGGGACAUCGAACCUUUUUUAUUUUAUUUAUUUAUUUGGUUCGAUUGAUAUCCUCUUCUCAAACAAGAUGUGACUUUUAAAACAAGACUAAUACCUUUAGAAUAUUCAUGUCAGGAUAGCCGGGAGAGAGAACGCCGAGGGGUUUUUGCGAAUGGAAGUUAUUUGUUGUGAAUUGUUUUGAGUAUGUUAUGCCGACGUGAGUUUGUUUUUGGGUUGUCUCUGUUCGUCGUGGACCCUUAAUUUGGAAUCUAACGACGAAAACCAGAUCGUCGAGGGAAACCCUGAGUGGGGAUUCUACGAAGCCAGAGAGCUCCCAACAGACCGGGGAUUUAAAUUGUGUUUGGUGUGCUCCGGGAGAAGCGAGAGUCAAAGAAAGAAAUUCAUGUGGCCAUUCUCUCUUUAGCAAAAUAUUUUGGAUUGCAGAAUGAGCAAGGAAAGACCCAAGAGGAAUAUCAUCCAAAAGAAAUACGAUGAUAUCGAUGGGAUCCCCUGGUCAGAGGAGAGGGAUGUGAGGAAGGUGCUCUAUCUCUCCCUGAAGGAGUUCAAGACUGCUCAGAAAAGGCAGCUCGGAGACGGCAUCGGAGAUGGAACCAAAUACACUAAUGGUUCCCAUGCCUGCGGGCAGCUCAAUGGCUCAGGGCAGAAGGGCCACAAUGCUGACGGGUCACGGUUCCAGAGCACUGACGGCAGCAGCGAGUACUCUGAGGAUGGCCCUGCCAAGAAGAGGCCCAGACUGCAAGCACAGAGGAAGUUUGCCCAGUCUCAGCCCAACUCUCCCAGCACCACCCCGGUCAAGGUGUCUGAUACCGCCCUGCCCGCACCCUCCGCUCACAUCAGAGACAUCUCCAGACGAAAACCCAAGACCGAAGAUUUCCUCACCUUCCUCUGCCUGAGAGGUUACUCCUCGUGGCCAAAUGAAGGGUCGUCAGCGUUGCCCAGUAACAUGGCGUACUUUGGGAGCUCUCAGGAUGAAGAUGUGCUGGAUGAUGAAGAGGAGUACGAGGAUGUGAAGCCAGACGUCAGCGUGGCAUCUACUUCCUGUCAGUCCACGCCCAGGAAGGGCAAACCCCAAGGGAAACACACCGUCAAUGGCCACGUGUUGAACGGCCCCAGCAAGGCGCCCCGAGACAGCCCCAAGCCCAGAGGGAAGGAGUGGGUGCAGGUGAGAGAGCGCAGUGAGAGGGCCGAGGCCCGGAGGGAGCAUGCCCUCAGCCAGCUAGAGGCUACAGCCAGGGGCCACACCCUACCCAGGGGCCACACUACCAACGGACUGCCCCACAGGAGGGCCGCGGAGGAGCUCUGCAAGCAGGUCUCUAAAGUGAACGGAGUCACACGGGCGUCCCAGACAGGCAUGCACACGGCCGGUGCCAAAAAAACGAAAGACUUCAGACUGCCGUCCAAAACUGUGAAUGGCCUCGUCACAUACACCAAAGGAAAACGAGAACUGGUGAAGAAAACCAAACUGAACAAGCGCAAACACAGCACUGCUGCUACCCAUAGAGCCCAUAGCAACAAUCGCCACCACAACCACCUCCAGCGCCACCAGCGACUCCCCCUCUCCAACUCAGGAAAAGCCCAGAAUAGCAAAGCAAAAACAAGCAAACAGGUGCUAUUAUCCAAUGGGGUGCACAAGGUGACCAACGGGGGCGGAGUGCGCCUCAACGGGCACCUCUGUGCCAAGCAGGAGGUGGGCAGGCAGGGGCGUGAGGGACUGAGGAACUCCAAGCGGAGGCUGGAGGUGGCGGUGGCUGCCAUCGGGGCGGUGGCUGACUCCCAGGGUAAGUUGAUCGUCCUGGAGACUAACCGUAAGAAGACCAAACAGAACCUUAGCAGCCCUCUGGAGACACGCAGUAAGAAAGCAUGUCAGGGCAAGGCCUCGGUCCCUAACGGACACAUCGUCAUGGAAACCACCCCUCCCCCCUCCCUGCUAGCCCCACCCCCUCCCUCCACACCACUCGCCAAUCCAGAGCCAGGGCGUCAGCGGCCCAAGCGAGCGUCAGCCGGCAAGUUGAUGUUCAUCAGACAAGCACAGCACCGGGCGCAGGCUGCCUCUAACCCUAACCACACCCACACCCUUAACCGCUCAACUACCUCAGAGUCCCCUGGCCACACCCCCGGGCAUACCCCUCACAAACCAGCAGAGCCCCGACCUGACAGGGAGUGGGAAAGGGAGAAGGAGAGGGCGGAGAGGAGCAGGGCGAGCUGGGCAGCGUUGGGUGAGGCACCAGAGUUCAGUCCCACCCAGCGGGAGUUCCAGGACCCCCUGGUGUACCUGGACUCUGUGCGGGAGGGGGCGGAGCCCUGCGGACUGUGUCGGGUGGUUCCACCGGCUGACUGGCGCCCAGAGUGCAAACUGAACGAUGAGAUGCGCUUUGUGACCCAGGUGCAGCGCAUCCACAAGCUAGGCCGUCGCUGGGGCCCUAACGUACAGAGGCUAGCCUGCAUCAAGAAGCACCUCAAAUCUCAGGGCAUCACCAUGGAAGACCCACCACUCAUCGGUGGCUGCGAGGUGGACCUGGCUCGGUUCUUCCAGCUGAUUAAUGACAUGGGCGGCAUGCAGCAGGUUAUGGACCUGAAGAAGUGGAGUAAACUGGCUGAUCUGCUGCGGAUCCCCAAGUCAGCGCAGGACCGUCUAGCCAAGCUGCAGGAAUCCUACCUCCAGUACCUGCUGUCCUAUGACUCUCUGUCCCUAGAGGAGCACCGGCGCCUGGAGAGGGAGGUGCUGCAGGAGAAGGAGGGCCUGGAACGUCGCAGGGGGCCCCUGGAGGGCCACUCAGACAGGAGCCUGACCCUGCCACGCUACGAGCCCAAGAACGGGCUGGCCGGCAGUCUGGUGCAGCACAGCAACGGUCAGCUGUGCAGCCGGCUGAAGGAGCUGGACAGUCAGCAGCUCAAGGUGGGACGCCGGAGGCUGUUCUCUCAGGAAAAGAGGAAUGGGGAAAUGACACAGCAGGAGGAAGAUGAGGAUGAGGAGAAGGGGGUUCUCAGUGACCAGCACAAGUGUAUUUACAAGGGGAAAUCUGUAUCUCUCACCAACUUCUUCAGGAUAGCCAGGAACACCAUGAUCAUGUGCUUUAACAAAGAGCCUGGGGCUGCUGAGGUCGAGCAGGAAUACUGGAGGAUAGUGGAGCAGAGGCACUGCCAUGUGGCAGUGCAUUAUGGGAAAGUGGACACCAACACACACGGAAGUGGUUUCCCCGUGGGAAAGUCAGAGCCAUUUUCUAAACAUGGAUGGAACCUCACUGUCCUCCCUAAUAAUUCUGGAUCCAUUCUGCGGCAUCUUGGAGCCGUGCCCGGGGUCACCAUUCCUUGGCUGAACAUUGGCAUGGUCUUUUCUACCUCAUGCUGGUCUCGAGACCAAAACCGCCUUCCAUACAUUGAUUACUUACACACUGGUGCUGACUGCAUUUGGUAUUCUGUUCCUGCUGAGGAGAAGGUGAAGCUUGACAAGGUGGUUCACACACUGCUGCAGGCCAACGGGACCCCCGGGCUGGAGAUGCUGGAGAAGAACAUCAUGAUCUCUCCAGAGGUGCUUUGUCGAGAGGGUAUCAAGGUCCACCGCACCGUCCAGCAGAGCGGUCAGUUUGUGGUCUGCUUCCCCGGGACCUUUGUGUCCAAGGUCUGCUGUGGCUACAGUGUGUCGGAAACCGUGUAUUUUGCCACCCCCCAGUGGAUGAACCUGGGAUAUGAGGCUGCUAAGGACCUGAAAUGCCGGCACAUAGCCAAACCCUUCUCCAUGGAGAAGUUACUCUAUCAGAUCGCCACGGCCGAAUCCAAACGCGAGAAUGGGCACAUUCUGACUACGAUCUCCGCUCUUCUCAAAGACCUCAGGAACAUAGAGAUGAGACAACGGCAGGAACUGUACGAGGCAGGGCUUCUGUCCUCUGCCCGCUACGGAACACAUGAUAACAGCCUGGUGCCCGGUGAUGGACGCAAGAAACCCAGGAAGUGGCUGGCGCUGGAGUCGUCAGAGAGACGCUGCCAGACUUGCCAACACCUCUGCUACCUGUCCAUGGUGGUCCAGGAGAAUGAAAACGUAGUCUUCUGUUUGGAGUGUGCUUUGAGAUACGUGGAGAAUCACAAGUCCUGCAGAGGCCUCAAGAUGAUGUAUCGUUACGAUGAGGAGCAGAUCAACAGCUUGGUGAAGCAGGUGUGUGGCAAGGCCCUGGGGAAGACGACUGAGAAAUGUAACGGUGCAAGCCCCAUCAAACCACCACCUAAACGCGGACCCCGGAAGAGAGAGACCGUGGAGGUGUCCCUGUCCCGCCUCUCCUCCUCCCACCUGUCUCCCGCAGCCGUCACAUGAGGAAGUUAACACCGCCCACUGCCCCUCCAUCUUAGUUUGGAGAAUCACUGUUGUCCUUUUUUUAAAGAAAGAAAAAAUAUAAUGCCCCAAAUCUCCCACGCAACCUUAGUAUGGCGAACUACCCCACCCACCCCCUUAGUAUGGCAAACUUGUGAAAACAAGCAGUCUUUUUUUGCACUAGCACGGAAAAUGUUUUUUCAGUUUCUUCUUUGGGGGCGGGGUGUUAGCAUUAAUUGAAACGUUCACAGGUAAAUGUUGUGCCCCUUUCACUGCCCCCCCCCCCCACCCCAUGUGUGCAGUCAGGCCCAUCGCCAUCUGUCACUCAACUGUGAACAAAGGGACGAAUGGAGAAGGUGCUCCUUUUUUCAUUUGAUUGAAAUGACACAAGUAGAACCCAAAGUUUUCUCUCUUUAGUUUUUGAAGAUGAGUUGUUUUUAUUCUCCUCCUCCUGCCUGCAGAAGCUCCUGUUGUUCAGGGCCUGUUGCUCCCUAACCCACACCAGGUAAAACUUGAAAGGCAGAUGUGUUUUGGCUGGCUUGUUUUAUUUGGGAUUUUAGCUUUGAUUUUAGAUUUCGAGAAAGUCUUCUGUGUUUAUUUUGUCGUCGUUGUUUCCUUUUUCUUUGUUACUUGUGGAACUAGUGGUGCCAUGGCUGUAUGUCAGAAACACAGCCUGGGGUGCCAUGGCUGUAUGUCAGAAAUACAGACCUAGGUGCCGCUGGUCUCUGUCUCUGUAGUAGGAGGGAGGCCUCCUUCGCUAGCAAGUGAAAACUGUGCCUGAUACUCAACAAAGAGAUACAUUGUUUUUGGUGCUGUUGGUUAUUAUUACUGUAUAACAAUACAAAAGAAAGGUGGGGUGCUGGCUAACUGCUAGCCCCCUCUCCCACAGGGCGGUAGCCUCUAGGCUUUCCUCUCCCAUAGGGUUAGGGUUCUAGGCUCUCCUCUCCCAUAGGGUUAGGGUUCUAGGCUCUCCUCUCCCAUAGGGUUAGGGUUCUAGGCUCUCCUCUUCUCGAUGUGCAAUCAUGUUAACAUUCCAUUCUUCCAGUCCUACUGUUUCAUCUGUACCAGUAAACAUUAAUAAUUUUAUUUUCUAUUUUGAUUGUGUUUUUGUUCUGAUGUGCGAGUAGAGUCACUAGUCAAAGGGUGUGAAAUGUGAAAUAUGGAAAUCCAAGUUUGUUUGUUUUUUGGUGUGUAUUUUAGGUUUCUCCCUUUUUCGGAUGUAUUAUGAAUUAUUUUAGCAGAAGGUCCAACACAACAUCCAUUUUUGUACAUAAUCCUGUAAAUGUCUUUAAAUACUCAAGCCUUUUCUGGGGUGAAGGAAGGAAAAUGAUACCUCUAAAGGUAUUACAGGAAGCAAGGGAGGAAGUGCUUGAUGAAGAAUAGCCUUACGUUUCAGUUUCUUCAUCUGUGUGAGUUUGAUGCUUACAGGGUUGCUCUGGUUACGUGUAUACAUUUUAAGUGCUGCUUACAUCACUAAGACAAAGAUAUGGAGUAGCUAUGGCCCCCUAUUUUUUAUUUUUUUUAUUUUUUAUUUUUAGCUUUACUUUUUUAAAGAAAAGGGAAAAUAUGUUCACAAAAAUGUACUGAAAAUUCAACAAUGUAGUAGCUCCUCAUGUUGCACUGAGCUUGCCAGUGGUGGCUGACAAGGUGAUCCUAUUAUCCAGUUUGUUGGUUGUUGUUGUCAUUUACAGAAGACUGAACUGUUUUAGGAAUAUUUAAUGAAAACCAAGUCGGUUGUUUUCAACAAAAAAGUGGUUGUCAUGGCCUUACAAUGUAAA